CCCAGAGACUCACAGUAAAUUUUUUCUUUGGUAAUCAGAAGGCUCUGCAUAAAUAGAGCCGAUUGUUAAACAUUUACCUGCACACACUAGGCUCAUCUUCAUUAUUGGUGAAAUGAGCGAGAUGCUAUUUUCCAUUAGCUCACACUCCAAUUCCAAUCUACCUGACCAGCAGAAGAGACAAAAAGGGAAAAUCCUGGCCAGUUCUCCCCUACCUGAUCAACCAGUAACAUAAUCAGACUUGUAAGACCUCAAGAAAAGAAACCUGAAAAUGCCACUGGAGGUGUGUGUUUUGCCAAAGAAAAACGAAUCAAAAACAAAACCCGCAGGAUGAGGACAAAGAAACAAAGAGCAGGGGUCUCAGCCAUGAACCUUGUGAUGGAUGAGGAAAAGAUAUUCUUUUUCUCCCCUUACACUUUCUGGCAGCCAACAUGGGGUGGCUGAGACACCCCACUAGUUCCAGAACCUGCAGAUAAGAUCCUGGGACAACUAAUAAAAAAACAACAAAAGGUUAA